rnacentral:rRNA from 1 species
AGUCGAGAAUCAUUCACAAUGGGGGAAACCCUGAUGGUGCAACGCCGCGUGGAGGAUGAAGGCCCUAGGGUCGUAAACUCCUGUCAUAUGAGAGUAAGGCAUAUUAGUUAAUACCUAGUAUGUUUGAUAGUAUCAUAAGAGGAAGGGACGGCUAACUUCGUGCCAGCAGCCGCGGUAAUACGAAGGUCCCGAGCGUUGUUCGGAAUCACUGGGCGUAAAGGGAGCGUAGGCUGCGCGGUAAGUCAGAUGUGAAAUCCCAGGGCUCAACCCUGGAACUGCAUCCGAUACUGCCGUGCUAGAGUAAUGGAGGGGUAACUGGAAUUCUCAGUGUAGCAGUGAAAUGCGUAGAUAUUGAGAGGAAGACCAACGGCGAAGGCAGGUUACUGGACAUUUACUGACGCUGAGGCUCGAAGGCCAGGGUAGCGAA